AUGCUUGGAAGGCAGGAUUCACCCUGGCCCAGACACCAGUCCACCUCAGGGCAGUCAGACACAACCCACGUGAAGAUGCGGAGGAGAUUCAAACUCCACGCAGAUAGCACCCCAGCUCCAGAACUGAACACAGAGGAUCUGAAGAACAUUCAAACUCCACCCAGCAACGAACACAGGGCCAGUGCUCCAAGAUACCAGAAUCAGAGCUUGUUCUGCCCUCGUGCCGAAGAGCACGAGCUCCCGAGACGCCGUUCUCAGCGCCACACAUUUCGGCCUUUUGAUUCGGCAGAUGAAGGGCUGCAGGCUGGGAAAGAGGGAAGGAACAGCGGGGAAAGGAAGAGAGGAAAGAGAGAAUGCACAGGGAAUGAUACAGAAGGAGAGAUGGAGGGAAAGAGGGCAGGGAGGAGAAUGAGCCACAUGGCACCUGCGACCAUGUCUCCUGGGUACAGUAUAUCCAUUUUCUGUAGGUUCUUCGGAUGGGGGGGGGGGGGGGGUUUUUUUUGACUCGAUAAUCCUGCUGGAGUCUGACCACCCCCCCCUCCACCACCACCACCAGCACCCGCUAACCCCCCCCCCCAGGGAAGAGAGAGGUCCCUGGUACCUGUCAGUGUGUCUGUGCUCCCUUCAGGCUGAACCAGGGGGCGGCUGUCACACAGCGCACUUCAGAAGUCACCUUUCGGCGAAGGGAAUCUUAAUGAGCUGGAGGGGGCGGGGGGGGGGCGAGUGACAGAUGGGGAAAAGAGCCUCUCUGACAGGUCCGCUCCGAGCUGCUGGAUUAUUCCAGUAAUUUAUUAGCAUUGCGUUUAAGACCUUUAUCUCACGGCACUGACAACUGCAACCUGUUUGUUUGUUUCUCUUUCUAUUCCUGUUUAUUUCUGGUGUUUAUCUCUGUACAUUUCUAUUGUGUGCAGAUGGCAUUUAAAAUUCACCUCUGUUCCCACACUUCAAAUUAGGGACCAGGGAUUUAACUUCUACAUUACAAAUCAGAUUAUAUUAAGAAGGUGAUUAACCUGUUUGUGUUGACCCCUGAUAAUGUGCAGCAGUGUGUUAACUAGAAAAGCACUCCCAUCUCAAAAUGCUUUAUUAGUGUAUAACCACGUGGAUACACAUGGAUAGCUCCUUUAUUACACAUUUAUAAUGUGUAAUUUACAAACCCGUGGAGUACAUUGCUGCCACACCACACUGGGGUCCUGGGUUCAAUUCUGGACCUGGGGUGCCAUCUGCGUUGAGUUUGUAUGUUCUCCCACACGAACACAAGGUUUCCUCCAGGUGCUCCAGUUCCUCCUGCCACCCCAAAAUCAUACUGACAGGUUAAUUGGCUUCUGGGAAAAUUGGCCCUGAUGUGAGGCCAGAUGCUUAAUUGGACAAUUUAGCAACACCAGAGGAACAUCAUAGGUGUUCAAAUUCCUAUAUUUAAGCUGACUGCCAUACACCUUGAACUUCAGAGGUUACAUCCAAACACUUUGAACAGACAGCUUCCUGGACACCACUAAGCUCCACAGGUGUGGUUACACCAUAUGCUGUCAACGAACAGGCUGAUUCGCUCACAGCUCAACAUAUUAACCAAUCGAAACACAACACUUUGUAGGACAAGCAGCAGGAAUAGCUGGAACAGGGUGUGGAGUGUAUUCCACAAGGUGGUGAAAUAUCUGCAGCCCUGUCUCGGUUAUUCUAGACAUUCUGCUAACAGGACUUCCUUCAAUUAAAGUGGCGAGAGUUUGUGGAAUUGAACUGCUCUGCAUAUUCUGCUAGCUCCACUGGUUCUUAAGAGGAUUCAAACUAGGGGUAACAAAGAGAGCCUUUAUUCAUUGGGCAGUGUCAGAGGAAAGGAUACUAAUAUGCUGGUAAAUUAAUAUAAAGCAAUUAAAACAAUCCAGUUUACAGUAUGUCAUGCAGACUACUGCCAAAAGGUUGGGCUGCUUAAGACAAACUCUGCCUUAUUUUCUGAAUUCACUAAAUGCAUGUGGUCACUCAGCUUGGUUUCACUUAGCGUGGAGAUAACUCAAUGUCUCCAGAGAAUAAUAGUACACGGUAGUCAAUAAAAUACUUUCCAUUACAAUUGCAAGGAAUAAAAGCCAAUCUUUUGGGUUUUUUUUAGAAAUGGGAAAAGACAGAUUGUUGGGAUAGGAGUUAGUACAGCCAACUCACAACUCCAGGGACCCGAGUUUGAAUCUGGCCUUGGCUGUAUGUGGACACAUGUGGGGAGUUUGCAUGUUCCCCAGAUCUUGUUUCCUCUCACCUCCUAAAAGCCUACAAGUUAAUGCUGACCAUUUGAAAUGAAAACAUUGGGAAGAAAACCCACUGGAAAAGGACAGGGCUGGGGCUGUUAGCUGUGAGACCAGGAUGGGCUUAAACAGCAUCAGAUAGGAAUAACAGGCUUUGCGAUACAGUAAAAUGUCAUGGGUUUUUUUUACUGAACUCAGCACACCCAAGCAGAAGUUUAUUAAAUCAUCUCCCUUUGAACUGAAGCUGAAGAGAUAAAGCAGCUGAAAGUCAAAGAGAAGUUCAGACUGAACCACACACCACCCCCCCCAAAAAAAAAAACUUAAUUCCCAGAAGAAGCAAAGCAGAGACUGUGUCAGACUAUUGUUCCUGCAGAAAUAACAAAGGUCAUCACGACAAGCUGCGAAUGGAAUUAUUAUUCAGUGCUAUAUUGGAACUGCAAUGGAAAAUGUCAAAUAUGCAAUUAGAUCAAUUUAUACACACAGUAUUGUCUUCGUGCACUUGUGGGAAGCCAGUAAACACAUAAUUAAUUACAGAAGGCCUGUCUCCACAUUUUGGCAGUAAUUAUUUUUUUUUGUGCGCGUUUGUGAAUCUGAAUCUUGCGUGGGGUGAUCGUGAUUAAUUAACAGGUCACCUCCAAACUCAGUUCUGUGGAACAGGAAGCCAACGCAACUGAACAAGUGGAAAUUUUUCUUUUGGGGUGCUAGGCGGCUUCAUGGGAGCCAUUAUCCGUCAUUUAGGUUAAGGUAUUACCAAAUAAAAAGCUAUCCAAGUUGGCACUGCAGAAGGACAACAUGUUGCACAUCUGGACAGACAGCAAGCUGUUUCUGCACAUGGCAGGAAAAGCACAGGCGAGGAAUAAAAACAAAUACUUUAUUCUACAGUAUAUAUGGCACCUUUAAUAGCAGCUUCGCAAAGUGCUUUACAGCAGGUGUUAAAAAUCAGUUUUAAGGAUAGCAAGUUACAAAACAAGCAUCUAAGAAACAAGAGAUUAGAGAUGCAGCAGAAGAUAGAAGGUUGUUAGAAAAUGGAGCAGACACAGACACUAAUUAAAUAAAAGCCUUUCUGAAAAAACAAAAGGUCUGGAGUCUGGAUUUAAGUGCAUUCGGGGUAGGUGACUCUCUGACAUCCUUAGGGAUAGAGUUCAAGAGCUUUGGGACACAGCAAGAAAAGGGUGUCACCCAGAGUGCCUCUGGUGCUACGCUUCUCUUACUAGUUUAAUUUUUGAACUGCAAGACUAUAUCAGCAUUUACAGAAUGGCACUGUAUUAAUAAUUACUAUGUUCUUCUCACACCUGAAGAAGGCUCCACGGACGAAAUGUUGUGUUUUCUUUCUUCUUUUUUCCAGCAUGGAAUAAACCCAUUACUUGUUCCUUUGCAGCCUACGCAUGCUGACGCAGCUACCCACGUAACUAGUAAUAAUAAUAAUUGCUUACACUUAUAUAGCGCUUUUCUGGACACUCCACUCAAAGUGCUUUACAGGUAAUGGGGACUCCCCUCCACCACCACCAGUGUGCAGCCCCUCCUGGAUGAUGCGAUGGCAGUACACUCACCACACACCAGCUCUCAGUGGGGAGGAGAGCAGAGUGAUGAUGGGGAUUAUCAGGAGGCCAUCAUUAGUAAAGGCCAGGGGGAAAUUUGGCCCGAACACUUACUUGUAAUAUUGUUAUGUAAUAUUCAUAACCAAAGCCAGACGUUUCUCAUUUCAAAGCUGUUUGAUGCUGUGGUUUGCUUUGCCCCCAAAAUAUCCUCCCCACUCUGUGACCGAAGCAGCAAAACCAAUAAAGAUAAAAAAAAAUAACGAUAUUUUGAAACUACACACCGACCAGCGACUUCGUCUCAACGUGAGUAUUGACAAAAGCAGCAACUUCCGCCGUAUGUUUUACCUCAAAAAUAAAUAAAAUAAGAAACCGCAACUCACCUUUUCAAUUUCAAACCUUUCAGACGGUUUCUUCCAACCGUCUUCGCCAGCUGCUGAAGAUAUUUUCAAAUGUCAGCGCUUCUUGAUGGCGUCACCACAAUAAACUGUCGGAGGCCUAAUUUAAAAAAACAUUUAUAGGGGAGGAACGCACGCGCAUUAUGAGCUCGCGGGUCGAGAACAGAUCGCAGACGUUUCGAGCAAGCGGAGCCGCAGAAUUUCU
rnacentral:lncRNA from 1 species